rnacentral:rRNA from 1 species
GCUUGUCUCAAAGAUUAAGCCAUGCAUGUCUAAGUAUAAACAAAUUCAUACUGUGAAACUGCGAAUGGCUCAUUAAAUCAGUUAUAGUUUAUUUGAUGGUACCUUGCUACAUGGAUAACUGUGGUAAUUCUAGAGCUAAUACAUGCUUAAAAGCCCCGACUUCUGGAAGGGGUGUAUUUAUUAGAUAACAGACCAAUAUUCCUCGUGUCUAUUGUGGUGAAUCAUAGUAACUGAUCGGAUCGCAUGGGCUACGCCCGCGACAAACCAUUCAAGUUUCUGCCCCAUCAGCUUUCGAUGGUAGUGUAUUGGACUACCAUGGCUUUUACGGGUAACGGAGGAUUAGGGUUCGAUUCCGGAGAGGGAGCCUGAGAAACGGCUACCACAUCUAAGGAAGGCAGCAGG